AGUUUGAUCCUGGCUCAGAGUGAACGCUGGCGGCAGGCCUAACACAUGCAAGUCGAACGGCAGCACGGCAGUAGCAAUACUGUGGGUGGCGAGUGGCGGACGGGUGAGGAAUACAUCGGGAUCUACCCUGUUGUGGGGGAUAACGUAGGGAAACUUACGCUAAUACCGCAUAAGAACUGAGGUUGAAAGCGGCGGACCGCAAGGCGUCGCGCGAUUGGAUGAACCGAUGUCCGAUUAGCUAGUUGGCGGGUAAAGGCCCACCAAGGCGACGAUCGGUAGCUGGUCUGAGAGGACGACCAGCCACACUGGAACUGAGACACGGUCCAGACUCCUACGGGAGGCAGCAGUGGGGAAUAUUGGACAAUGGGCGCAAGCCUGAUCCAGCCAUGCCGCGUGGGUGAAGAAGGCCUUCGGGUUGUAAAGCCCUUUUGUCCGGAAAGAAAAGCAUUCGGUUAAUACCCGGGUGUUCUGACGGUACCGGAAGAAUAAGCACCGGCUAACUUCGUG
rnacentral:rRNA from 1 species